UGCCCACCCUAUGUCAUCCGAAGAGGGGAAGAAAACACUCUGGCCUGACAGGAUUAUUGUAUAUGCAAACAUCUUAACCUAUUUUACUGAGCACUGAUAGGUCCUUUAAAUGAACUAAACACUACUAUAAAUAUUAUGAGGCUUUCCCAUAGAAUGGGAACAAACUA